UAUCAUCACAAUGACUACACUUUUGUGAGUGUGCCUCGUGAAAAUCGUUCUUCUUCUUUUUCUUCUUCGUCUUCUUUUCCUCGAUUUUCAAUCAUCAGUCCUCUUAAAGAUGUCAAGUGUAAAACUACUCGACGGCGGUUUUUCAACGCAAUUAUCAACUCAUGUCGGUGAUAAAAUUGAUGGUGAUCCAUUAUGGACGGCAAAAUUUCUCGCUACCGAUCCAACAUCCGUUUUAUCAACGCAUUUAGAUUUUUUGCGUGCCGGUUCUGAUAUUAUUCAAACAAACACUUAUCAGGCAACAAUCACUGGCUUUGUCAAAUAUAUGAAUAUAUCGCGUUACGAGAGUCUUAAACUUAUUCAUGAUGCUGUGGAUCUUGCCAAACGUGCUGUGUCUAUAUUUACUGAAGAAAAUGAAUAUCAGAUAAAUCGAAAACCAUUGAUAGCGGGCUCAUGUGGACCAUAUGGAGCUGCACUUCACGACGCCUCAGAAUAUACUGGUGCCUAUGCAAAAACUGUAACCCAUGAAAAAUUAAUAAAUUGGCAUCGACCACGAAUUGAAACAUUAAUAAAUGCCGGUGUCGAUAUGCUUGCAUUGGAAACAAUUCCAUGUGCAACUGAGGCCAAUGCACUUAUUGAAUUAUUACGCAAUUACCCGGAGACAAAAGCUUGGCUUGCAUUUUCAUGUCGUGACGAUGGUGAAAAUUUAGCUGACGGUACAAAUUUCAAAGAAACAGCAAUACGCUGCUAUAAGCAAGCACUACCCGGACAAAUUCUUGCAAUUGGCGUCAAUUGUAUUGCACCAAAAUUUGUCACACCUCUACUUAGUAAUAUUAAUUCAAAAACGGCUAAUAAUGAUUUUAUACCACUUAUUGUCUAUCCAAAUAGUGGUGAAAAAUAUUCUGUACCCGAAGGUUGGCGCUUUGAAUGUAAUACAUUGCCACCGGAAAAAUUUAUACACGAAUGGCUCGAUCUUGGCGUUCGUUUUAUUGGCGGAUGCUGUCGAACAAAUGUAACAACAAUUAAAAAAAUUAAGGCACAAAUUGAUAAUUAUCAUGGGAAUAAGUAAGAAUUUUUUUUUUAGGAAAUAAAUUUUUCAUUAAAAAAGAAAAAAAAAGAAAGGAAAAUUAUGUUCGUAAGUUAACUACGCACUGUAUAAUUGAGUUGUUUUUCAAUAUUGAUAAAUUUUCCUGGUUCACGUUCAACAAACACGACAUCUUUAUCCAAAUCCACUUUAAAAGUGGCAUCAUUUGAUAAUUCCUUUUUGCCCUUCAUUGGACUCG